GUGGACGGGGCGGGGCGUCCCGUAGUAGUUCCCUGUGAUUGGACAGAGAAAGAGGGAAAAAACUGACCUGUUAAAGGGGAUUGGUCUGGAACAUCACACCUGCUCAGGGCCAAUCCACUGUUUUGCUGUGGGUGCGUUUGUUUUUUGUACCUUUGAACUUGCCGCUCUCCAGCAGAGCCCCGGACUCCUCCAGAGAGAAAAACUCCUCGAUGGAGACAAAGUUGUAGUCCACACCUGAGAUCUCCCCGUCCCGAGGCUGCCGGGUCGUACCUGCAGGGAGGGGCACCGUGAUGUCAUCACACAGAACAAGAUGAAACAGGAUUAAAGAGAAACAGAUGGAGGAUGUAUCUGAUGAAUCUGUUGUUUUUAUUGCUCACUCUCUGGUCAAUCUGAGCUCUGUGUUUUUCCUCUGGGUCAUGUUUACUCUCCACUCACAGGUUCAGCGUUUCACUUCCUGUAAUCAUUAACAGCUCUGAUUCAAACCUGCUGCUCCUUCAUCCAACAGCUCAGGUUGAACUUUCACCUUGAAGUCCGUCAGUGUUUACAUUCAUUUAGAAUCAACCUGACGAAUGACUGUUGUAGUUUCAGUGUCUGUCUGCCCUGCUCCUCUCCUCUGGAUACACAACAAUUGAGGCUCGACUUUCAAAAAUGAUCUCACAAAUCAAAACCAAACAUCUGUCAGAAAAAUCACAAUUAGAUAUUUUCCCAAAAGCGUUCAGCUCUAGUUUGUAGUGAAGACGGAACAACAAGAAUCAGGUAAAGAAAAAGAAUUGAAAACUGAUCUGAGGCAGGUUUAUACAGGAUUUCUACUUCCUGUUAUUCUACUAUUAUUCAGGUAAACACAUGGGCAAAUUCUAGUUUAACUUAUUGGUGUACAGGUGUGUAGAGGUGUGUGUGCAGGUGUGUACAGGUGUGUGUACAGGUGUGUAGAGGUGUGUGUACAGGUGUGUACAGGUGUGUGUACAGGUGUGUAGAGGUGUGUGUACAGGUGUGUAGAGGUGUGUGUGCAGGUGUGUACAGGUGUGUGUACAGGUGUGUAGAGGUGUGUGUGCAGGUGUGUACAG